UACAGAGGGUGCAAGCGUUAAUCGGAAUGACUGGGCGUAAAGGGCGCGUAGGCGGAAGACCAAGCUGGAUGUGAAAGACCCGGGCUUAACCUGGGGGAGUCAUCCAUAACGGGUUAUCUGGAGUAGAGGAGAGGGGAGUGGAAUUCACAGUGUAGCGGUGAAAUGCGUAGAUAUUGUGAGGAACAUCGAUGGCGAAGGCAGCUCUCUGGCCUUAUACUGACGCUGAGGCGCGAAAGCAUGGGUAGCGAACAGG
rnacentral:rRNA from 1 species